GAUGAACGCUGGCGGCGUACCUAAUACAUGCAAGUCGAGCGAACGGACGAGAAGCUUGCUUCUCUGAUGUUAGCGGCGGACGGGUGAGUAACACGUGGAUAACCUACCUAUAAGACUGGGAUAACUUCGGGAAACCGGAGCUAAUACCGGAUGAUAUUUUGAACCGCAUGGUUCAAAAGUGAAAGACGGUCUUGCUGUCACUUAUAGAUGGAUCCGCGCUGCAUUAGCUAGUUGGUAAGGUAACGGCUUACCAAGGCAACGAUGCAUAGCCGACCUGAGAGGGUGAUCGGCCACACUGGAACUGAGCCACGUUCCAGACUCCUACGGGAGGCAGCAGUAGGGAAUCUUCCGCAAUGGGCGAAAGCCUGACGGAGCACCGCCGCGUGAGUGAUGAAGGUCUUCGGAUCGUAAAACUCUGUUAUUAGGGAAGAACAUAUGUGUAAGUAACUGUGCACAUCUUGACGGUACCUAAUCAGAAAGCCACGGCUAACUACGUG
rnacentral:rRNA from 1 species